GGUAAAUAAACUCCUUAGGGCAUUUGUAGUAAGCAUUUUCUCUCAGAGAAUUACCCGGUGAUGGGAGCAGUGACGGGGUAACGGGACUGUAAGUGGAAAGCGCUGACACAAAAUGGCUGCUCAGCCCUGUCAGGAGAAAAUGGCCGCUAGCCUGGGAAAUGCAGGCCUGGGAAGCAGAGGCAUCCUUGGCAUGCGGCUGGACACCUGAGAACCAGAGAUGGCCCGAAGAUAUUACCAAUCAAGACAAAGCAAGAAACCGAGAAACAGCUUAUCACCUGAAGAAGUGGGAAUUGAGACAGGCUUCUAUGGAAUGUCAUGUUAAUUUUGUGACGCUGUGUAUCAAAUCCUAAACUCUGCAACAUGCUUCAACUUCCAGCUUCUCAACUAUUCCUGGCUGUAUCUUGACGCUUACGACUCGAUGCCGUACCAGACUCUGUUAGUGGCAAUUCACAUUUGUCAAAGCAAUGUAACAAGUCUCGUAAUAAAAUUGCCAUGCA